rnacentral:rRNA from 1 species
AUGGCCGCGUUUCGGGAUGUGCUGAUGGCAUGUGAGUUAGUCGAUCUGGGGUUUUCUGGCAUAGCUUAUACAUACAAGAAUAUGCAAUCGGGUUCUGCAAAUGUACGUGUGCACCUGCAUCAUGCGGUGGUAACAAAUGAUUGGAGGAACAUGUACACAUACUCUUCUAUGCAACACCUUGCAUCCUCUUGCUCGGACCAUAUCCCAUUGCUACUGAGGUUUAAUGCAGAGCAGGAGAGGCCUAGAGCCAAGGCACGUCGGUAUGAAAUCUUUUGGGAACGUGACGCAGAAUUGCCAGAUCUUAUAUAUAAGGCGUGGUCGGGCUUAGGUGCAAUGGAGGACCUGGGACAUGUUAGUGCUGUCUUGAAAUCUACCAUGACAUCCCUUCGUCCAUGGAGUAACAAAAGGUUUGGGAACAUUACAAAGGAAAUAAAUAAAUCACGCAGCCAGCUUGAGGAGCUAAUGAGAAUGAAUGCUGAUAGGAAGGAAAUAAUAAAGGUGUCUGACAAACUCAAUGAACUUCUGUACAAAGAGGAGAUGCUAUGGUUGCAACGUUCGCGUAUCAUGUGGCUAAAAGAGGGAGAUAGGAAAAAAAUUCCAGAGUAA